CUCCCGAGCCCAUCGGCUUCCCCCUCCCCAACCAAACCCCAUGGCUGCGCACGUUUCGGCCGAGAAGGAAGCGAAGCCGUUCCUUGGCAACGCUCUGCUCAUUGUUGUGCUGCAUCUCAUCCGAGCUGUUCUUCCGUCGUUGGCCUAUAUGUGCACCAUGGACUGAGCAGUUCCGUGUCUUGACUGCUUUUCUUGGCUGGAGAUGGCCAUGGAGGCGGGUACUACAGUUCUCACCCUUUGGCUUCAGAUGUUCGGGCCGGCAAGGGAAGAUAAGAUGGUGCUUGUCACCUUUCUUUCUUUUGUAGUCGGCCUUCACCUCAUGAGCUUGUCGAUUUAUUACCUUCAUAAGCUGGGAGUUUCUGAGAUUGAUGUCACCAACCCGACAAGAUGGUAUGCGGUCUUACUCACGUUUGUCUUUGGUGGCACCAUCUCAACCUUCUACGCACUAUGCCGUCAUGCCUACUAUGACGGUCACCACAACUAUUAUCUGGCUUGGGCGGUGUGGUUCUUUGGGGUGGCGUUUGAGGUAGCCAAGCUCGGCUGGUCAAUUCUAAGACGCUUCGAAUGCGUGCAA